GAAUGUGAGGGCGAUCUGGCUGUGACAUCUAUCACCCCAUUGAUCGCCAGGGUUGAUUCGGCUGUUCCGGCUGGCUAGGCGGCUGUUCCCUCCCUCCCGCUCCAUGUGCAUCCCUCUCGAAGCUGUGUGCUUGGUGGAAGAGGGCGAGGUCCCAGGUAGAAUCAUAGAAUAAUAGAGUUGGAAGAGACCUCAUGGGCCAUCUAGUCCAACCCCCCGCUAAGAAGCAGGAAAUCGCAUUCAAAG
rnacentral:snRNA from 1 species